rnacentral:lncRNA from 1 species
CUCAUUUUUCUACUGCUCGUGGAUUUACGCGCACGUUGGAACCGAAGAGAGCUCUGUUGUUGCAAUGUUCAGCCCACAAGAGCUUACUGGUGAAGGAAUGGGACAAGACCCAUCUUUAUGCAAAGCCAGCGUUACAGUAAUGUUCCAGGUAUUCCUGAUGACAGUCUGCCUCUAUCUUACACUUAUGCCACCAAGUAGGCAGUUUCUAUGAUGAAUCAAACUAGCUCACUAUGACCGACAGUGAAAAUACAUGAACACCUGAGAAACUGGAGAACGCAGGGAGUGGGGGGUAACCAUGUCUGAGGAAUCUUUCACCCACAGCUUUGUUUUUCUCUAGGUACUACUAACCAAUAACCUGCUUGGCUCAAAGGGCCAGCACCUUCUCUCUAAAGCCCAAGAGGAGUUUGAGGAAAACUAGGUGUCUGUGUUCACUCCAGGCUGAAGUUACAGGUCUGAGCAAAUAAGGUGUAUAAAAAAUGGAAUCUGUCUUGGAGGACAUCAGAAGGUGAAUUUUCCAAGUUCUUGGACAACCUAGCUGUUGAAAAGCUUUCUGGGUUUGGGGGGUAUUUCAGAUGUACCUUAAAGUGUUAGCAGACACAGAUUAAGACACUGGGAGCCAAUGAAACAGCAGUUGAGGGUUUGCUGUGUAUCACAUUUCUGUAUUUUAUCACCCCCUUCCUGCAACAUUAUUUAUCUGGAAUCUACCUGCCCUUUUGUUUUUUAGAUACAAGGGCUUGGUUUUGUUACCCAGGCUGGUUUCAAGGCCAUAGCUUUAAGAGAUCCUCUCACCACAGAUUUCCAAAGUGCUGGGAUUGCAGGUGUGAUUCAUGGCACCCAGACUUUGCUGCCUUUCUUACAUGAUCCAGGCCCAGAACCCAAACUCAGGCACUGUAUAGAUGACCACUUUCGUAAACUACUGACCUAGCUUGUUGCCAAUUGUUGAUUGAACUUCCCAUAACUCCACUUCGUGUCUGUUCCUCUGUAUACAGCCACCUUCUGUUCCCGUCAUGAGCCUUUAGGUCUCCAUUUGCAUAUUGCAAAUACUAUGUUCCAUGUAGGUAGCUCAUUCAGGGCCUUGCUCUUCACUUCAAAAAAGGUUCCCUUGAGGACUGGCUGUCAAUUUGUGUUGCUGUGUUGGUUGUUGAUGAAAAUAAUAAAAUGAUUGAUUACAUA